rnacentral:rRNA from 1 species
UACGAAGGGGGCUAGCGUUGCUCGGAAUUACUGGGCGUAAAGCGCACGUAGGCGGCUUUCUAAGUCGGGGGUGAAAUCCUGGAGCUCAACUCCAGAACUGCCUUCGAUACUGGAGAGCUCGAGUCCGGGAGAGGUGAGUGGAACUGCGAGUGUAGAGGUGAAAUUCGUAGAUAUUCGCAAGAACACCAGUGGCGAAGGCGGCUCACUGGCCCGAUACUGACGCUGAGGUGACGAAAGGCGUGGGGAGCGAACAGG